AACAGGUCUGGCCUUGGGACCCACAUUUACCAUGUCAUUAUGUCACACUCGCAACCCAUUUUUAUUCAAACCAAGGAAAUUUAUGUCACCAGACUUUCUUCAAUGCGCCUACCUAUUCUGCGACAGUUUAUCACCAAAGCAGGACACCGAAAAGCCAUCUUGGAAUGGACCCCUGAGGCGGAAGAGGCAUUUACCAGACUAAAACAAAGCAUGUAUAGUGCCGCGUCCCUGGCCGCCCCAGACUUCAAGGAACCCUUUUACUUAAGGUGGGAACACACCAAACGCGUUACCCGCGUAAGACGCGUAUAAAAUCGGCAACUUUUCCAUAGGGAACCAUUGGUUUACGCGCGUAUGAGCUGCGUAGAUGCGUGACAUGCGCUAAAGCAACAUUGUAGCCGCGUUAGCCGCGUAUGAGCUGCGUAUAUACGCACCUAACGCACCUACGCGCCUACACAAGGAGUUCAAAAAAUUGAACUUUUUACGCUCCUACGCAUGACGAUUAGCCGCGUUGCCCAAUCAGCGUUGAGCUUGACCCGACGUCACUGGCAGAGAGACGGAGAGGACAGAACAGAAAUGGAGGACCAAAACCUGAUAGUAGCAGUGUGCAGCCGUCCUGUCCUGUACGACACAACGAUGGUGUCGUACAGGGACAGGAACAAAAAAGAGAGGGCGUGGGUCGACGUGGCCGAGGAUACUGGCUUUCCUGGAUAUUCUGGAUACACUGGACGUCCCUGCUCUGAUGACGGAAUUCAUCAGCACCACCCCAGAACGAAAGACCACCUUUGGAGUCCUACCAUCUACUUAAGUUCUUUGAAUGGGCGCAAGAGGAGGAUGGUUUGUAGGUCACCACUGUGUGCGUGCUUGCAUGCGUGCGUUUGCUUCGGAGUUCGGAGGAAGGAGUUUUUUCUUAACACCAGCCCAGCAGUGAGUCAGACCCAGAGGACGCUGAUGCUGCUCCUGCUCCUGCUCCUGCCCCUGUCCCUGUCCCUGCCGCUGGCCCUUCCUGUGUACCUGUCCCUGAGGCUGGCCCUGCCCCAAGACCACAGAGCGGGACGAAGAGGAAGAGAGCCAGGGUACCAGAGGGGAACACAAAUAUGCAGGGAGCCAUCCUCCAGGCCCUGCAGAGGCAAAAUGCUGUGCCUACCCCUACCCCGCUCUCUGGGAAUGAGCACUUUGUCAUGGGCCUAG
rnacentral:lncRNA from 1 species